GGGGGGAUAGCUUAGUCUAGAGCCGGUGUUUGGCAUGCAUGAGGUGCUGGGUUCAAUCCCCAGUGCCUCCA
rnacentral:tRNA from 1 species